UCUUUGGUUGUGUUUAUUGCUCCUGAGCUCCAGAGCCCCUGUGUUCCCUUAUUCCUACAUCUCUGUGUCUUGACUCCAGUGUUCUUGUACUUGCUUCUCUUCUGGCCUUGCCCGUUGCUCUUGUCUCCUGCAUCUUGGUGCCUUGUUGUGGCUCUGUUCUCCCAACCCUGUGCUUAGUCAUGAUCACCUGCACAGAGUCAGACACCAGAGACUCUAGCCACAUGCUUGGAUAAGGCUGGUCACUGCCCCAGGCCUGGAGAAGCAAAUGACAGGCAUGCCAUGGGACAGGUAGAGCUACCCUGGACCUGCUGUUGCUACAGGAGGAGGUGCCAAUGAGGUGCGUAAUAGCUGUGUUCAUAAUCUGGACCUCAGAAAGGUGGGCACCUCAAGAAAAAAAAACUGUAUGACUUUUUAAAAAAAUCUUUAAGAGAGUGGAGGAAGCAAAUGGGGUUGAGUGACUGGGAUGUUUCUCUUCUAAUCUUAGGUUACUUUUUAUCAGGGGUGCUCACAUCCCUGUGGGUUGGGGGCAAUGACUCAAAAAACAAGCUGGAGAUGGGUUCAUUUGGGGGGGGGGUUCAUGAUAGUUCGUGUUCCUUGCUCCGUGAGUAGCCACAAGCCAUGAAUCAUCACAAACUUUGGGUUUAUGCCCAUCUCUAGAGAGCGCUCGUGUAUGUUAAGAAUGUUUGUGGUGUUCUUAACUUGCUUGCACCUUGUAUCUUCUGUAGCUCA